AACAAACGCUGGCGGCGUGUCUUAAGCAUGCAAGUUGAGCGGCAAGGAGGAGAGAUCCUCCCUAGAGCAGCGGACUGGUGAGUAACGCGUGGGUAAUCUAUCUUAGGCAUGGGGAUAGUCACUAGAAAUAGUGGGUAAUACCGAAUAAGUUCCAUAAGGGGAGGACUUAUGGAAGAAAGGUGCUACGGCACUGGCCUUAGGUGAGCUCGCGUCCCAUUAGCUAGUUGGUGAGGUAAAGGCCCACCAAGGCGAUGAUGGGUAGCCGGCCUGAGAGGGUGUACGGCCACACUGGGACUGAGAUACGGCCCAGACUCCUACGGGAGGCAGCAGUCGAGAAUAGUCUACAAUGGCCGGAAGGCUGAUAGUGCGACGCCGCGUGAACGAGGGAGCCCUUCGGGGUGUAAAGUUCUUUUCUAUACGAGCAGUGCUAUAUAUAUGGAUAGUAUAUAUAGAGGGAUAGUAGUAUAGGAAUAAGCAACGGCUAAACUCCGUGCC
rnacentral:rRNA from 1 species